rnacentral:rRNA from 1 species
GGAAGGUGGGGAUGACGUCAAAUCAGCACGGCCCUUAUGUCCAGGGCUACACACGUGUUACAAUGGUCGGUACAGAGGGCAGCUACCUGGUGACAGGAUGCUAAUCUCGAAAACCGGUCUCAGUUCGGAUCGAAGUCUGCAACUCGACUUUGUGAAGCUGGAUUCGCUAGUAAUCGCGCAUCAGCUAUGGCGCGGUGAAUACGUUCCCGGGCCUU